ensembl:lncRNA
GUUUGGGCUUGGCUCCUGUGGUCAAAGUCUAACUGUUGUGUGACUGUUGUGUUGAAAGAGAGCCAGGUACUUAAGUUGAUUGACAGCAGGCAUUGUCCCCUGUUAAUUGAGUUUCUGGGAAAGCUUUAUUUGCCAGAAAAGGCACCUUUACUAACUAUCCUUUGCAGUACAUACAGGAAAACAAAGCAACAUAAACAAAUACACAAAGACAUUCAGGCACUCGAGCUCUUCUUGGACACUGCACAACACGCUGCUGUAGAUCAGCAGCCUGCAUCACACCAACACCACCAAGACCAUGAUCAGGAACCUUAUGGGGAGAUCAACUCAAAGGUAGACAACCCUCAGGCUUGGAAGGAGGUCACCCAUAGAAGGAGACGCAGGACCAGGCAGCCUCCACAGAACUCCUCUGCUCAGCUGCAUUUACACAACAGAUUUGAAAUUCUUACAUCAUUAACAUACAAUCAGGAAACACAUCUUGUGGAGGACCACAGUUUCUUAGAUACCACUCAGUGGACCAUCCUGGAUCAAUGCGCAGGGGAUAGCCCUGACAGGGACAGUGCAUCACCACAGUCACACUUAUGUAAUCAUGCAAAUGCUCCAUCCCCAAUCAUAGACCAGGAGCAACAGGAACAUCCUUGGGAGAGUAAUGGGCUCUCGGAUGUAUCUCAAUGGAUUGUCAUUGAUGAAUGCACUGGGGAUGUUGAGGAGGAGGACAACACUUUACACCUACAUGAUUCACUUCAACAGGAACACUCUUCAGGGGACAUACACACUGUCUUGCACAAAAGGGACCCUGUCAAUCCUCAAAGGAAACAGGUCUUGGUAGUAGGUGACUCCCUCCUUAGAGGAACGGAAGCCAUCAUUUCCAGACCGGAUGGGAUGGCUCGAGAAACAUGCUGCCUCCCGGGGGCAAAAAUACACCAUAUCACUCAGAGGCUCAGCAGGCUCCUAAAGCCCCAUCACCCUCCCCACCUUAUGUUGAUUCAUGUAGGUACCAAUGACACCGCUAGGCAUACUUUUCAAAAGAUCACAAAUGAUUUUCGAGCUCUGGGAACAAAGCUAAAACUGUAUAAUGUACAUGUGAUCUUUUGAAAAGUAUGCCUAGCGGUGUCAUUGGUACCUACAUGAAUCAACAUAAGGUGGGGAGGGUGAUGGGGCUUUAGGAGCCUGCUGAGCCUCUGAGUGAUAUGGUGUAUUUUUGCCCCCGGGAGGCAGCAUGUUUCUCGAGCCAUCCCAUCCGGUCUGGAAAUGAUGGCUUCCGUUCCUCUAAGGAGGGAGUCACCUACUACCAAGACCUGUUUCCUUUGAGGAUUGACAGGGUCCCUUUUGUGCAAGACAGUGUGUAUGUCCCCUGAAGAGUGUUCCUGUUGAAGUAUAUCAUGUAGGUGUAAAGUGUUGUCCUCCUCAACAUCCCCAGUGCAUUCAUCAAUGACAAUCCAUUGGGAUACAUCCGAGAGCCCAUUACUCUCCCAAGGAUGUUCCUGUUACUCCUGGUCUAUGAUUGGGGAUGGAGCAUUUGCAUGAUUACAUAAGUGUGACUGUGGUGAUGCACUGUCCCCGUCAGGGCUAUCCCCUGCGCAUUGAUCCAGGGUGGUCCACUGAGUGGUAUCUAAGAAACUGUGGUCCUCCACAAGAUGUGUUAAUGAUGUAAGAAUUUCAAAUCUGUUGUGUAAAUGCAGCUGAGCAGAGGAGUUCUGCGGAGGCUGCCUGGUCCUGCGUCUCCUUCUAUGGGUGACCUCCUUCCAAGCCUGAGGGUUGUCUACCUUUGAGUUGAUCUCCCCAUAAGGUUCCUGAUCAUGGUCUUGGUAGUGUUGGUGUGAUGCAGGCUGCAGAUCUACAGCAGCGUGUUGUGCAGUGUCCAAGAAGAGCUCGAGUGCCUGAAUGUCCUUAAGGGUCUUAAUACGGUGCUCGAGCUGUUGGAUCCUCUGCUCCAUCAGAGUCAUCUGUUUGCAUUUGGAGCAGUUGUAGUUGUCUAGUUUUUGUGUGAAAAAGCGGAACAUGCCACAGCUGGUGCAUGUGAUGGGAAUGUUUUGCUUUUGUUGCAUCUCUUGGUGAGCGUGGUGGCCAAGUGGGAUCUUUGUACAGUUAAGUAAUAUGCACGCACUUUAUGUGCAGACUGCAACAAACCACCUCUUUGUGUAUUUGUUUAUGUUGCUUUGUUUCCUGUAUGUAAUGCAAAGGAUAGUUAGUAAAGGUGCCUUUUUUGCGCGCGCCCAACUUCCUUCUGGGAUCAGGCUCUGGCAGAAACUCACACUGGCAAUUAAAGCUUUCCCAGAAACUCAAUUACAGGGACAUUGCCUGCUGUCAAUCACUUAAGUACUUGGCUCUUCUUUCACACAACAGUCACACAACAGUUAGACUUUGAC